AUGUUACAACUUAAAAGCACCGAACGCCUUGCCAAGAGGUAAACUUCGUAGUUAUCCUUUUCCCUUCAAUUAUUUUGUUUAGUUAAUCAGGUUCAUAUCAUCUCGAAAUAAAAUAAAAAUGUUAAAAAUAGUAAGCCCCAUGUGAGUAUGCUCAUGGCAUAAAACCCAUAGGUACAUUCACUGUGGUGGCAUAAAAUAAAUAUGUUUACAUCUUACAAUAAAAAUAUAAAAAUAAUAAGUGCAUGAUCCUACUAAAUAAAUAACAUUUAUUGAGGAGGCUCAACAUGAUAAAGGCUAGAUAUUUAUGCUAACACUUAACCAGUUCCACAAAGCUUUGUUGUCUAUUUGAGCUCCAUAGAAUUCAAGGAUCAAAGAAGACUAGCAGACGGAGGACAUCCUAAUCGCUGUCAGGGUGCUGCCGACAUUCAAAUACACCUCCGCCACCUACUAGCUACAUCAGAAGAAAUUAUGUCAAAAUCCAGCUUGGGGGAGAGCACCCCCAUUUAUCCAGCUAAGUGUUUCUACUCACGUUUAUACUUUACUCAAAUAAUAAAAAGAUGCAUAAUCAUAAAAAACCCAAAUAAAGAUUUUGUGCUUUUAUAUAUAUCUUUGCUUAGUUUGCUAAAUAAAUAAAUAAAUAAAGUUUGCUAUGAACCCUCAUGAUAAGCUCUCACAUGGAAAUAAUGAAUAGUUGCUCUGCCAUGACUAGUUCUUAAAAUUGAAAUCUCUCUCAAGUUUAGGCAUAACUGUUAUAAUUUAAACCUGCUCUAAACCUGAACUUGUGGGAAGAGUACUUGAUCUAAAGUCUAAGUCGUUAACGGAUAUGAUAUGGGAGGGUUGAGCUGCUGUUUAUCUGUUCCUAGAGAUGAUAGAAUUCUGGAGAAUUUUAUCUUUGAAAAUCUUUAAAAUAACACAUGAUGAGUUCCUGUAUGAUGAAGAGUUUAAAAUCCUACCACAGCCAUAUAUACAUGCUUAUUAGACUUUGAGCCACACAUUUACUUUUUACUGUUUAUGGGCAUUGAGUGUGGUCAAGCUGUGUAGACCCUUAGGAGCUUGUCAUGCGGUUAAAAUCAAGAUUCACUUGCACGUUCACUCAUAUAUGCUGCUUCUACUCCGGAAGUACGCAUCCACAUAUAUCCACUCACUUCCAUCUCCAGAGCCACCCAAAAGUAUUCUAGUCCUAAUCCGGGAGAGAAUAGCCAAAAAGAUUAUCCUAUCCCGGUUAUUCCCUAUGAAAUAAAUGCUCGAGUUAUCUUGGUUACUACCACUUGCUAUAUUAUUUCAGGAGAUGAGUGCUCUAAAAAAAGAAAAAAAAGAAGAAAAAGAGGAAAAAUAUGAGGAAAUAAAAAGGGACAAGUGCCCGGAACCUCGAAGAAAAGAAAAAGUGAGACGAGAGGUAAAAAUGGACAAGUGUCCGACAGUAGAAUUAGGGGUACAAGAUACCCACCUGAGAGGAAAGAAAAAGAAAAUAUAGAGCAUCUCAUUCUCCCCAAAAAGUUACAAAGUGCAAGAAAGGUAUGUAUCCCCUCAAAAGAGCAAAAGUAGAAUUAGACUUUCACCAUUAUUAUCACCAUCAUGACCAUACACCAUUCAUUCGCCACACAUGCACAUCUUGAUUUGACUUAUUGACUUGUUUCUCGGGAUCCAUGGUUUGACUAUGCAAUAAAUGUCUUGUAAGUAUGUAUUAGCUGUCUCCCACCUAUGAGCUCCAGAUAUCAAAACCUUAUUAGAGUAGGGUGAGAGAGAAGGCAAUAUCACUAUGCAUUAUACCAAAAAUACCACAUACUUUGAGAGAAGGCAUAUACCAUUAUUGCCUUGGUAAGGAUCCAGAAAUACCACAAAAGAGAGAUUUGAGAGAAUCAUAUAAGGAAUCUCUGAUUUUUAUUUGAAAAUCUGCAAAAACUCCAGAGCUAUAGCUGAUCAAAGAAUAAGAGACAUGGCGCUUGACUUGACGUUCUAUCUUUUAACUGCUAAAGACACAAGUGACGGUUACAAGCCCCAUGGUGAAAGGUAAAAUGAGUAAGUUUUAAGUCUUAACAGUUUAUUCUAACUCAGAGAUGAGAUCUUGCUUGAAUGCGUGUGUACUUUUAAGGCAUGAAACCACUGCAGAAACUCUUGAGUUCAUCCUUGCUCAGGGAUGAGCAAGAGGUAAGCUUGGGGGAGUUGUUGACGGUCCUUAAGUACCAAAUAUAAUCAUCAAAUAAAUAAAGAAAAGGACCAAUCUACAACCAACACCUAGAAUUAGGGUUUGAUGUUUAUCUAUUUCUGCAGGGGGUUAUCAGGAAAUAAGAAAUAAAGGCCCACAUGUCGGGAUUACAUAGAGAUAUCAACGCACCGCGCAAUUUUCUACCAUCUAGAAGACUCCAGAAGCCACGGGAAGAAAGCAGAGGCCGAAAGGGGCCAGGCCUAGGGCGCCCGCCCUGAGGACCUGGGCGCCCGCCCACCUCUGGUCUCCGUUCGGGACUCUUUUCGCACAUGACAUUCCACCGACCUAAAGGAUCAAGGAUAACGUAGUACCACAUCGCCUGCUGGACCAAAAAUGCACAGAGGAGGACUUAUAAGCAGACCCCCUGGCCCCUAGAGGAGACAAGUUUUUCAUAGAGUUGAGGGGAGCCCUCAAAGGAAAACCUCUUCUCUAAAUAAAAUUUAUUUUAGGCUUAGCAUCCAAUGUGAGUAGAAUUAGAUCUUCUAGUUUCUACUAGAUUGAGAGAGAUAGAGUGGAGGUGUAGAUCGGAGGAAGGCCGGCCUGUCGGUGUCUACUCCGAGGUUGUACCUGUGGGAUCAAGUCUCCUAACUCGAGGCUUGCUUCUAAGAUUCUUCAGUAAUUCGACUUCUAAUUCUAGUAAGUUCUUGUUUUAUUGUUCUUUAGUUUAUGAGUUUACUUUAAUCCUCUUCCGGUUGAGUGUUAGAGUAAUCAUUGCUAGUGUAAACGUGGUGUUUAGGCUAGGGUACUCAUAGAUAUCCCCUGACUAGCUGGACCGUGGUAGUAGCGAGGAACGUGACAUUUCCGAGUUACCUUUGUAUCCCAUAUCUUGUUAGCAGGACGGGUAGGGUUUAUAGGUGCGGGUCGAACAUCCUUUGUGGUGUCUAGAUUCCGUAAGCUUCCCCAAUAGAACAGUAGAUCAUCCUUACCAAGGUUAGAACGAGACAACGGUUGCAGUCUUCUCUAUACAUCAGUCACAUCGAGAAACAUUCUUUGUAGCCUAAAGGGAUAGUAGCAAUAGAUUUGGUUAGUCAGAUGCACCCUUUCUCCCAAUGGUAAAAAUAUAAAUACGAUAACUCUAGAUAACAUCCUGGGUGAAAUGCUCACCGAUAUCCGUGCGCUUGCGGAUCAUUUUCUUACUGCGUUACCAAAUAUCAACACUUUCCUCAAGAAGUUCUUCCCAGCGGGCAAGACCAGUGCCCUGCGUGGGAAGAUUUCGAGCUUCCAGCAGUAGUCCGGCGAGAUGAUUCCUGAAGCAUAGGAACGUCUCAAUGAGUACAUUCGCGCCUGUCCUCAUCAUGGGAUAGAUGAAUGCCUCAUUAUUCAAGAUUUCUACCACGGACUGACCGGCAUGGCCCGUAGUCACCUUAAUGCCUCAGCUGGAGGGGCAUUCUUGUAGAAAAAUGUCAAGGAUGCCAAGGACCUCAUUGAAAAGAUGGUCAUCAACCAAGGAUGGAAUGAGGAGCGCCUCCAACCCAAGAAGAGAGGUGACCACGCCCUCAGUGAGGUGGACAUGCUCUCUUCCAAGAUGGACCUCCUUAUGAAGAAAAUAGAGGAAUCUUCCUCUAAAAAGGGAAUUAAGGCCAUCCAGACCCCUACUGCUGUUCGUGCUGUGGAAAUUGAUCCAUGGUGCAAGGUAUGCGGAGGAGAUGAUCACUCAGACAAUAACUGCCCCGAGACCCAGGAGGAGGUGAACUACAUCAACACAACAACUUCAACAACGGGAACUGGCCCCAAGAACAACAAUGGAGUUCAUGCCCCUUCUACCAAGGCCAAGGUAUGGGUUACAAUAAUAAUUCUGGUAAGCGCGCCCUGAUAUUAGUGGCAAGAAAUGGAAGGCGAGGCGUGAUCGUGUCGUGAAGGGUGGGGGUGGAAAAGGAAAAUAGUGGGUGGGCUGAGAGCGCUGGGGGGCGAGAUCGGGGUCAUCAGACAUGGGACCUGGUGGAUCGUGGCCGUCCGACGCGAUAUCACGAGGAGUUGGCCGCGGUGAGAGGCUAGCUGACUGGCUGGCUUGUGCUUGACUGGAUUGUAGUACUCAGGACAGGCUUUUUGUCUGAAGGUGCCGCUCUAGGUUCCAAAUUUUCUACCUCCACUGCAUCCAAACAUAUAUGUAUGUGUGACAGUGGUAUCCAUGGAGUGAAUUGUCAUUUUUCCAGAACCUUUCUUCUAGAAACUUGUAAUUAAUUGGCCUUGUGAUUGUUCUGCAUUUUGCCUUUGUUCUGCUCCAUUCCUCACAUUUUUUCCUUUUCAAGUCAAAGCACUGAUAGUAUCUACAAUUCAAUCGCCAAUCCUCAGCUGCCCAAUGUACUCCAGUAACAAAGAUGACAUGAGGUGACGUUGUGAGCACAGGUGCGGGUGGCGGCUGGAUACUCCUCUUUGGGAUGUAGGAUGGAACUGUAGGGCUGAGGGAGCUCAAGAGGGGCGCCAUUGCUGCUAUUGCGUGCUUUGGUAGUGGUGGCGAGGGCUGAGGGUUCCUUCAUUCCACCUCUAACCUGGACCUUUACUGUUCAAUGACAUACCUAGUAUACUUCAUCGGUAGUCGUUCCCGUUCCUAAUGUGGUUGCCCUACUCCCCUGCCUCGCAGGUACCAGCUAGAGGCACUCGAGCACGCGCUGGUGGGGAACACGCUAACGUUCCAGGAGACGGGCGCCGGGAAGACGCUCAUCGCGAUGCUUCUCCUGUGCUGCUUUCACUGUCGUUGUCGCCAUCAUUGCUGCCAUAGUCGCUAGUGCCACCACCGUCACCACCAUCCUCAUCCGCGACGCCACCUUGGAUGAUGGGGUUAUCAAGGAGAGGUGAGGAUGCACCAUGGAUGGAGAAUUGUUUCUCGUGUUUACGCCGAAGUAGGCGAGCACCUCAUAGAAGAAGCCGUGUAGCGGGACACGCAUCCCGUCCUACAUGACCUGCUCAUACACGCAUUUGUCCGCCCUCGUGAGAGUAUGUGCCUUUCAUUAUCUUUGCAAUGGGAAAAUACAUAAAUAUUUAACUGUAUUUGUAGCUUGUAUAAAGAACUUGUAUUCUUUCAAAAUUCUACAACACUAUUUAUCAUAAAAUGUGCUAAAUGAUUAAAGCCUGACAACAUAUAAUUUUAUUUUUUUAUGUAUAAAGGUACUUCAUAACACUAAAUCUCAAGUUCAUGUAUCUUACAGUUUAGGGUUUGUUAGGGACACUAUGACCCUUUGGAAAGACUAUGAUGUGGAACGUAGAUCUAAAAAUGACCAUCCAAAGGAGUUUACAAGGGAACACGUAAGUUCUCAUAUAAUGAAAACAAAAUAUCAUGUCAUUAUGGUGGAACAUGGGAAACAAACCAUGCCUAUUAAUUUACCUCUUACAUAACUAAGUUUUUUUCAGCUGUGAAAAGGACUUCUUCAGCUCAUUUGAUUCUUGUAUGAAUGCAACAGAUUAGAUUCAAGAGUUUCUACGGAGAGAGAAGGAAAGAAAGAGAGAGAGAGAGCAGAGAAAAUGGAGGCGGUGUCAGCAUUUCUCCACAACAACACUGGUAGGGAGAACAAAUAAAAUAGAUGAUAAAAAAUGAUCAAAUCUCUCUCACCAAAGAGCAAACCAAUGAUGUCAAAUGGAUGUUGCUUCACAAUAUUUAUGUUCAUCAAUUGUACUUCCAGACUUGGGAUAGAGGGUCAACCAAAUGAUCUUUUUGGCUAUGAUUGUCAAAGUAGAAAGACCGCUGAUUUGGUCAUGUGUGCAAUCUGCAGCUGCGUACAGGAUCCUUUUGCCACAUGUAAGGGAUAUUGAUCAGAAAAUGACUAUUGAUCAGUGUUGUUACACAUUGAACAGUUGAACCAGGAAGCAUCACCAUGUCCAUCAUCGGCAGAAAGUUAUUGGCUCUAUAAUGUUGUUACACACUGGGGCAGCAUCACCUUGUACAUCAUGUGCUCUAAGUUCUUGCAUAUGUAGAUUUGCUGUGCACUGGGCAACAUCACGUUCUGCACUUGUAGUUUUCUCGCAUCAGUAGUGUUCCAACAAGAACAAACAAAUAAUCCACAAACAAUAAACAAACAACAAACAACAAAUAAAUUAGAAACCAAACAAGAAAACAUCAAUUUUGAUGGCGCCCUCGAUGAUAGGAUCAUCACGGAGAGGCAAGGAGGCAUCAAGGAUGUAGCUAGAGGAGGAAGACGAGGAGGAUGAGGAUGCUCAGUGUCUCCAUCUUCCUCUUCUUCCUCCUCUAGCUAGAGCUCUUGGAGCAGAUGAUGGACAAGGUGAUGCUUCUCAGUGCACAGAAAAAUUGCAAGUGGAAAACCUUAGAGCAGAUGGUGGUCAAAGUGAUGUUAUCCACUCCACAGGAACCCAACUGAUGCAAGAAAACUAUAGGUGCAGAACGCAAUGAUGCCCAGUGCACGGCAAGUCUACAUGCAAAGUGAUGGUCAAAGUAAGUACUCCUCUUUGUCAGCCAAGAGUCUCCCACAAAUCAUCAUCUCAUGUACAUAAAUCCUGUAAUAUACACAAGGAUGCAUGGCAUAGAUAAUGCUUUUGUGGCUUUGUUCCUUCAACACAUACGCCCAUCGUGAUCGACAUGUGUGGUGUUUGGGUGUGACUCACAAAUAUGAUGUUACACUAUACGAAGUAAAUGUUUGUAGAAACUAUUUAUUGAUAAAAAACACUUUUAUGAUGUUCAAUAAAAUAUAUAAACAUAUUGUGUACAAUGUAUAAUGUUUGUAGAAACUAUUUAUUAACAAAAAACAUAUUUAUGAUAUUCGAUAAAAUGUAUAAAUUGUAUACAUACAUAGUAAAGUGCAAAGAAUUACCACACAGUUGCACCGAUACAUUGUAUGCAUAUUAUUUAUGAAAAAAUACAUUUAUGAAGCUUGAUACAAUGUACAAAAAAUUAUGGGUAUCGACACAUUGUGUACAUGCAGCCAUGCGUUGUAGGCAUAUGUACAAAAUUGUGAGCGUGCAGUCCACGCCGGUGUCAAACACAGUGCUUGUCGCGUUCCUGAACGGUGUGAGGAUGGUGACGCCUCAAACAAAAUAAAAUGGCCAUAGGAUCGCAUUGACACAUUUGUAUAUGGCUGGUAGCCCUAAUUUGUACAUAGGCACGGAAGAAGCUUCCCAGUCCUUUUGACAAAAGCCUAGAGCUUCUCCAGGAGAGGGAUAUGGAAAUCCAGCUCUUUGUUGUCUUCACUGCCUCCAUUGUAUUUGAAAUUGAUCAGCAGACGAUCCAUGAAUUCCUGGGCCUCCUGCACUGACUUGCCUGAGAUGUGCAGCCAUCGUCGUCAUCGCCUCAAAUACCUGUGUAGUCGUCGUCGCUUCAAAUAGCCAACUAGCUAGAGGUGGCCCAUAAAACCAUACACAAGUUCCAACCAGCAAACCCCUUCUGUUUCAAAGUUUUAGUUUCACACAACCUGUACUAGCCCUUUGGUUUUCAUUCUCUGACUAGACAAAUACUACAUUAAUUAACAAUUUAUAUCAAGUAACUACAACACAUCAAGCUUCUUAUACUAGUACACAACCUGAGAACAUGGAAUGCAUUGGCGUUAAAGGCAUGUCAAUUUGCAAUUACCCUCAAUUGCAAAAAUGUAAUGUUCGGGAGCACUGCCAUGUCUUGUAUCAUUUUUUAUUCUUUUUGUUGUCUUUGUUGUCUUCGGUGCUCUUUGUUUCCCUUCAAGAUAACUUAGUUGCACAAGUAUUUUAAGUAUAUGUAUAUGUAUAUGUAUAUGUAUAUGUAUAUGUAUAUGUAUAUGUAUAUGUAUAUGUAUAUGUAUAUGUAUAUGUAUAUGUAUAUGUAUAUGUAUAUGUAUAUGUAUAUGUAUAUGUAUAUCUAUAUGUAUAUGUGUAUGUAUAUGUAUAUGUAUAUGUAUAUGUAUAUGUAUAUGUAUAUGUAUAUGUAUAUGUAUAUGUAUAUGUAUAUGUAUAUGUAUAUGUAUAUGUAUAUGUAUAUGUAUAUGUAUAUGUAUAUGUAUAUGUAUAUGUAUAUGUAUAUGUAUAUGUAUAUGUAUAUGUAUAUGUAUAUGUAUAUGUAUAUGUAUAUGUAUAUGUAUAUGUAUAUGUAUAUGUAUAUGUAUAUGUAUAUGUAUAUGUAUAUGAUAUGUAUACGUAUACGUAUACGUAUAUGUAUACGUAUAUGUAUACGUAUAUGUAUAUGUAUAUGUAUAUGUAUAUGAAAGGCCUCACUACAUAGUUGUUAAUCAGAACAUUAAGAAAACUCUUUUCUUAAUCAUCGAUGUGAUUCUAGUAAUGAUGUACAAUGUUGUCAUUACAUUUUGUUAAAUAUGUACUCAUCUGAUGACAACUCCUACCAUAAUGGAAAUGAAGUUGAUAGACAUGAAAAAUAAAAAUGUUAUGAGGCCAUGCAAAUAUCAUGUAUAAAUAGCCCAUUAGAACUUAGUUGCACAAGUAUUAGAAAAAUCUGAAAAGUUAUGGGGCCAUGCACAAGACAGAGGACACUACGAAACAGAGCCCAUCUCACCCUGCUGCUAAUCUAAUUAACUCAUCGUCUCAAGCACAGCGAUAACUCAUUAUUUACUCCAACCCUAGCAAGGCACUUCGUUGUCUGAUACCAGAAAACUGAUCUAUGCUACUAAUAUGCUCCCAGUCAAUCCACUUCAUUUUAAAUAUAUUAGCACACUUAUAUAUAUUGGUGUACAAGCCUGCUUCUCAAUGUACCAGAACAUCUUGUCUAUCUCUGUCCUGUACCCCUUAUAGUGGUUAAUAGUUCUGAGUCUCUUAAGCCCAAUAAAAGGGGCCCGAGCGUAACCCAAGGGCUCUCCGCCCUGUACUGGAGCAACUAUGAGGCAAGUCCUUCUCUUUCCAACCUCUAUCAUUGGCACUUGCUUCCCUAACUCGGACUCUAAGGGUGUCUGAUCACUAUCUGUGUCAUUACUGUAUAAGUCAGGGUGCUCAAACUGUGAGCCCUUUGGCUAGUAUUCCUCGUGUGAUAAAUGCGACAGCGCCGUUUCCCCAACUGCUCAGCCACCUACAUAAAGGAAACAUAUCAUAUGAACAUAGUGGAACAUGCAAGAUAUUAAUAUACCCUGCACCCAAAGAAAUGAGUGAAAAAGAAAAACACUUGCAAUAUUGAAAAUUGUCAAAUAAGAUGAUGUGCAUGACAUUUAGGCCUGCAAUGGUGCCAGCAUCUAUGGUGGCAUGUCGCUGGUAGUUGUUGAAAUACGCCGGCAUAGUGAUGAUGGCAUUCUUGAUUGUCAUGCCAAAAUACGUCUCAGUGGUCUCCUUAAGUUUGAUCGGCACCAUCGCCAAAAUCUGCUAAGGUGUAAACUGUCUCUCCUUACCUUCAUACUACACCAAAAUAAUAGGAUGGUCAUCACGUCCUGCGAUGACUCUGAAAAGCCAUGAGAUGAUGUCAUUUUGCAUAGAGUUCUCACUAAAUCGGCGGCCGAUCAGUUGCUUCAUUUUUGUUUAAGACCUCAACAACAAAAUCAAACAAACAAACAAAAACAGCAAUGACAAAAAAAGAAAACAACAAGGAAACAAUGAACAACAAAAACAAACAACAAACAAUAAAUAAUAAACAAAUAUGUAUUUAAUGAAGUAGUUGCUCCUUUUGUGAAGCCAACCGCUUGUGAUGCUGCCGUGGGCAUAAAUGAUAAUGUGGCAGGUGGACCAUCGGUGCCUGAACCCGCAGAACCUUGUUUGCAAAAUUCACUUGUUACUUGGGAUCCUAAGUUGGCUCAUUGUAAGCAAAAGACAACCCAUGAUAUUACUGAUAUAUCUAGAGGGAUAGAGCGGGUAAGAAUACCUGUAGUAAAUGAAUUUGGUAGCGAGACCUGUCCUCCAUUCUUUUAUUAUGUAGCAAGAAAUCGUAUCUUCCAAAAUGCUAAUGUCAAAAUCUCAAUUGCUCGGAUUGGUGAUAAAGAUUGUUGUGUUGAUUGUUUCGGCAACUAUUUGUCAGCUAUUUCGGCAAAUUAUUGUUUGGGCAACUAAUUGUCUUCCAAAAUGAAGACUGUUUGCUAGGUGAGUGAAGCAUAUUUUAUUUUAUAGUUGCUGUCGUGGGAGCUUAAAUUUGGAACACACAAACAAUUGUUUUUUGUUUUUCUAUAAACAUAUUUGUUUUACUUCUACCUAGCAUUAUUCAAGAUACAAACAAUCAACCAACCCAAAUCCACCCUUGACCUCAUGGACUCCUAAGCCCGGCAUUAAAUUAUCUCGUGGUUUUGUUUCACCUCGCUUUGUUCCAAAUGCAGCUUUUUGAUGUAUAUACACACACCUAUAACAUAGCUGAAUUACAUAAAAUUAUUUGUAUUUUGUUCAAAUGUUACUGGAAUAAUACAUAAACAAAACUGUCUCAGACAGCAUAAAAUAAUAUAGGGAAUCUAGUGAAGCGUACGAGACAGAUACUAAGUUUAGCAUCUAAUCUCAUGCAAUGUGUUUGCUAGUACAUAACUAUCUUAUCUACCCAACGUGCAUGAUCCUGAACGGCAUGCCAAAAUAUCUACGCCACUUGCAACCUACUGUGCUCCAUCAUUGUCCACCGACACGACAAGCUGUUCGGGGUCAAGGUGCGGAUACCAACGCAGCGUGGUACGUUUCAUAACCUCUAGACCCUGCUCAUACCUGACCAGUACAUGCUCGGUCAAUUGGCUCUCCAGUUCUUUACAACCCUAGAUCUCGCACACCGCAGCCACCCUAGGGCUCAUCAGCUCCUUCACGUGCGCCUUCUUCGUGCCGGCGAGCUCGGCCUUGGCCUGUGGCAGGUCCUGCCGCAGCUCGUCCUUAAGCUCCCGCGUGUAGCCCAGCAUGAAGGAUGCGUAGUUCGUGGCCUGCGUGCGCAUUACUACGGCCGACGACCACAACAUAGCAGUAUUCUAUGACCAACGUAUCUUUGUAUCCUAUUUACCAAAAUCUUUUCUGUUUUACUGGCCAAGGAAACUUCCAUUUUGCAAAGAUAGCAUUCAGAGGUUCUUGUAUCAUCUGACAAUGCAGGAUCUUGAUAGAAUGUGUGGAAGCUGAUAGAACAAUUGGAAUUCCACUACUUCCCCUGUCAGUAGCAGUUCUAAGUCAACAACGGUUUGAUAUCCAUUCUAGAGGAACACUACUAUGUACACAAUGUUUACAUAUUAUCAACAAAUGUCAGUGCAAUUGUUUGUGUAAUUGUAUGUACAUUAACUAUGUAUGUACACAAUGUGAUUUUACAUUGUAUCGAAUGUCAUAUAUGUGUUUCCAUAACUAGUUUAGUUUGUUGUACAUUAUUUGUAACAUUUGGUUAACAUUUAAGUUAAUAAAUCUGAGCUUGAGAAUCUCAUAAAAUUGGGAGAACAAAUCGUAGGGACGGCGCUGAUUGGUCGCCGCCUCCUUCACGUCCCCAGUUGCUCUCAUGCCAAAGCACGCCGCGAUGUCCAAGAUGAUAACGCUUGCUCUAAUUAUCCGGCCACGACACCAUAUUAGUCUAGCAUGCAAUAAGUGCAAACUUCUCUACAAGUGACGCAUGCUCAAGAAUACAUGCUAGUGCACUGCAAUCAGCAGGCUGACACCAGUAAUCUUCACUAAGGACUAGGCCAACAUAUGUAUAUGUAUAUGUAUAUGUAUAUGUAUAUGUAUAUGUAUAUGUAUAUGUAUAUGUAUAUGUAUAUGUAUAUGUAUAUGUAUAUGUAUAUGUAUAUGUAUAUGUAUAUGUAUAUGUAUAUGUAUAUGUAUAUGUAUAUGUAUAUGUAUAUGUAUAUGUAUAUGUAUAUGUAUAUGUAUAUGUAUAUGUAUAUGUAUAUGUAUAUGUAUAUGUAUAUGUAUAUGUAUAUGUAUAUGUAUAUGUAUAUGUAUAUGUUUGCAGCUAAACCUUAUAUUCAUAAGUUUUUUCAUAUGACUGUGAGAAGAGUAGAGAAGUUAUGCACUUUUUCGCGAAGGUACAAACUGUUUUAUUUAUAAUUAUUCUUUUAUCACACCAAAAUUUAAGAUAUUAUAAUCUUCUUAUCAAAUAAGAACUCCCGCAUACAGUAUUUCACCAUCUCAUUGUCAAAUAAAAUAUUUUAUAUACUAUCUAGGCUAGGAGUAUACAUGAAAUUUUAUCGAUAUCAGAAAUAUAAGAAGUAUUAUAUGCACCUGAGUACUAGCACAUCAAAUUAUUGUUGUAGACACUUCAUACAUACAUACAUACAUACAUACAUACAUACAUACAUACAUACAUACAUGCAUGCAUACAUGCAUACAUACAUACAUACAUACAUACAUACAUACAUACAUACAUACAUACAUACAUACAUACAUACAUACAUACAUACAUACAUACAUACAUACAUACAUACAUACAUACAUACAUACAUACAUACAUACAUACAUACAUACAUACAUACAUACAUACAUACAUACAUACAUACAUACAUACAUACAUACAUACAUACAUACAUACAUACAUACAUACAUACAUACAUACAUACAUACAUACAUACAUACAUACAUACAUACAUACAUACAUACAUACAUACAUACAUACAUACAUACAUACAUACAUACAUACAUACAUACAUACAUACAUACAUACAUACAUACAUACAUACAUACAUAUCUUGGUAGAGAAGAUUUUGACAAUGGGGAGUUCAUAAGGAAAUACACGAAGAUUAUAAUAUUUAAAUUUUUGUUGCGAUAAAGGAAAAAGUAUUAUACACAUAAUUGUUUGUAGUGUAUCAAGCUUCAUAAAUGUAUUUUUUCAUCAAUAAUAUGUAUACAAUGUAUCGGUGCAACUGUGUGGUAAUUGCUUGCACAUUUACUAUGUAUGUACACAAUUUGUACAUUCUAUUGAACAUCAUAAAUAUGUUUUUUUGUCAAUAAAUAGUUUCUUCAAACAUUGUAUAUUGUACACAAUAUGUUUAUAUAUUUUAUCAAACAUCAUAAAUGUGUUUUUUAUCAAUAAAUAGUUUAUAUAAACAUUUACUUUAUAUAGUGUAACAUCUUGGUCUUCUUCCUAAUAUAACUUUUCACCUCCAUCCUGAUGCGAGUGCGGGUGGAGGCGCGCGCUAGGGUUCACAAUCUAGAGGAAAACAGUAGUCUGACUAGAGAUCUCCUUGCCGUGUCGCCUCGCCCUCCGCUGCCGCUUCCUCGUGAUCCCGUCUACGGAAAGCGCCCCGUCGGGUUCGAGUCUGUACUAGAAACAACACACGGCGUUGCCACGCGCUUGUCGUGAGUGAGAACAUUAGUUGGAGGCUGCCCAUGUAUCUCCGUUUAUUCCGUAGUAGAAAGGAUUGCAUAUAUUGAUGUGCUUAUUCACUUAGUAAUAAAUCAUAUUGAAAAUGUAACACAAUGUCACGGCAUAUGCAAAGAGAACGAUAAGCAAAAGAUGUGUAUCUGAAUGCAUGUCGAUGGAGGCACAUUACUUCACAAUGAUCCCUCUAUGUGACUUCAAACAAGAUUACAAAUGGUAAUUUACCGUUGAGGAAAAAUCAAAUCUGUUUGCUCUAGCAUGAUUAUUGUUGUACAUAACUAAGAAAAGUAUGCAAAUAUAAUUAAUAAAAAGGUGGAAGAUGUAUGGAGUCAUGGAGGUAUGACAGGGAAGCAAUCUUUUCUUUUUAUUAGCAUAGUAGCUGAAUGAGUGAUUAUACAUUUUGAAAAUUAGUCCCAUUUGAUGAAGUGACAAGUACCAGAAGGAGCUAUUAUAUUAUGGUAAUUCAACUUGGCACUGUGCAUAUGAUUUCUACAGAAAUAAAUUGAAAACCAGUAGUACUUAUAAACUCUUAAUUCUGAAUUCAUGCUUUGCAAUUUAAGAAGAAAAAGAUAUAAUGCAUGACACAUGAUCAUAGUUCAAAUUGUUGCGGUUGUCUCCCAAAAAAAUGUAUUUUUAAUGACAAUGAGAUGGAAGAAAGAAAAAGAAGCAUUUGAAACAAAGUAGGAUAGGAGCGAGAGGCUGAAGAGGACGUGCAGGGGUGGCCUUGCCUCUUGCUUGCCUGCUGCUGCCGGCUGCCGGAGGGCGACGGCCGACGGCAAGCGGGCCGCCGCCGCACUGCUGCGGGAUGGAGCAGGAGUGCAGGACGAGCGGUGGAGCGGGAGCCACCGUCCCGCCGAGCACCGAGCAGGGGGUAUUCAAACGAGGUUGGUGGCUUGCUGCUCGCCGGGACCCUGCCCUGCCCCUGCCUGCGCCCCGCGCCGGCGCCAGGCGUGCCCCUGCCGGCGCCGCGCCGUCGCCCGCUGAUGCACCUUGCUACGUGCGCGUGCCGCCGCUCUAGCCUGCUGCCUACCGGUUACCGCCGCUGCACGCCGCCGGCAGCUCGAAAUCGCCCCAAAUCACAUGCUGGUUCACGCUUGGGAUGGGACGCCGAGCAGCGGCUGAGGGCUGCUUAGCCUUGUUGGGCCAGGGGAAGGAGGUGAUAUUUUGCCAUUUUGGUUUUGGGCCUGCGGGAUAUAAUAGGCUGCUUAGCCUUGUUGGGCCGCCGGUGGGAGAUAAAAAAUGCUGAGAAUUGGCCUGUUUUGCUAAUACACGUCUCAGUUCACUAUAUUUUUUACUUUUUUUCAUGCUAGAUUGUGGCCAUGCCCCGUGCGUUGCAACGUGAAAACAAAUAUCAUGGUAAUUUGAGGUGUAUCAUGAUAAUCCUGAUUUAAACAUAUAAUGUACUUAGCCAAAAUAAUAUUACUUUGAGUAGUGUUUAUAAUUUUUUUGUAUAGCCAGUCAUCAAUUCCAUAGGAUCAUAUAUGCAUGAUGAUUCAAACCUCAACUGGAUAAAGCACCUCAUGAGGGUAGAAAUUGCUUGAAAAUGCCUCAUAGUCUUGUGUGAUAUAUAUAUUUUCCCCUAAAACUAGAAUGACAUUUGCUUGGUAGUUGUCAGUGUUUUUAUCAGCUACCCUGAUGCCAUUUCUCUUUGAGUUCAAGUGUUCAACUGCCGAGCUAGGCUUGGAUGAUUGGAGGAGAACGCAGCAGCGACGCCGAAUCGAGCUUGUGGGAGACAGGGUCCUGCCUUAGCGCCGAUCCGCACUUCCUGCUUCCAAUUGGAGUGAGGUAAUAUAUUUCCCCUCUAGAUGAUUACUCUCGUGAUUGACACACUACUACUUGAAGCCCUCCAAAUUAGUUACAAGACAAAAUCUAUGCCUUCUAAUGUUGGUGUAGUUGGUACUUGGUACAACAUGUUCUGUAAUGUUGAACUUUGGCUGUGUGGUGCUCUGGUGGCAUGCUACUUUAGGUUUCUUAUCUUGCUGUACAUAAUUUUGUGGCAUCACAUUGAAGCUUAGAUGGCAAUAGCUGUAACAAAACUGUCCAAUUUAUUACCUUGGCAGGCAGCUGAUGGGUUACUUCCCGUUGUCCAUAUCCCUCUCUGUGAGAAGCUCUAGGCUAAAAUUAGAGAAACAAGCAUCACACGCUGGCACCGCCACUGCCAUCCUCAUCCGCGACGCCGCCCACGAUGAUGGGGUAACUCAUAUAGCCGCCACUCUCUCCUCUCAGCCUCCCUAACCUGUUCGGGAACCGCUAUUCCCAAUAGGAUGAAAGGAAAAUCGAAUUCAAUAAACCGGAACCAAAUUCAAUUCACGUUCUUUGAAUUCGGUUGAGAUAAACCAAAAUUUCGAUUUAGUGGGACGGAAAAUGAUUCUUAACAAUCGAAUCCGAUUUGUGUUCUUCGAAUUUGGUAGAGAUAAACCAAAUUCGAUUUAGUGGGAUGGAAAAUCGAAUUCGGUACCGUUUUGUCGAAUGCAAUUCAUUCAUCGAAUUCGGUCGAUAUAAUCCAAAUUCGAUUUAUGCGUCGCUGACGCCGCCACCGCCAAAGUUCUUGUUGUGGCCACCCCUAGAGGCUCCACACCUACCUUCUUUCUCUUGCAAUUCAAGGGGAUAAAACACUAGGUUCAUACAUUUAAGAGAUCUAAGUAGUCACAAAGCUCAUGUUCAUGGCGACUUUUGGACCUAGUGCUUUCUAGAAAACUGGCAAUAUCAUGUCACUGUAUUGACUACCACUAGUUGUAUUAUAAUGCCAGAAAUGCUAUUGAGUUAAACUUGUCCUGAUAAGUACCAACUCCUCAUAAACAUCCUAGGUCCACCUCUGCUCUUCUUUUCUUAUCACAUGCCUCAUUCUCUAUAGCAUCUCUCUUGAGUAUAAACAUUUUUAUGUCCUCAAUAUUUAUGAGAAUCUACUAUUAAUUAGUAUGGGGAUCUACGAAGUAGAGUAACCAUCAUACCAUGAACAAAAUCCAAACAUAGGUUCGGGGGCUACACCCGGCAGGUGUGCUCACCGUAGAAAAAAUUCAAAGGCCUCGACAAGGCAAACUUAGUCUAGCAGGCAAAGGAACAAACAGUUCCCUUACGUGCUCGGGGCUACUGUCGGGGAAAAAACCAGGCUUAGAAGGAAAGGCCAAAAUGAUCUUCAAGAACAAAUCAGCUCAACUCGGCCCAUCUGCACCAUCGGAAGCGAAGGAGGCCAGCCAAGCUAAACUCGUAUGGUGGAUCCGGUGGGUAGUGUAUAUAUUCUCUUCUAUUAGAGUAGUUCUACCUAGAAUAAGGUUGGAUUUCUUACCGGUGGAGUUGACAUCGGUAAGCUUUUGUCCCUUCCAAAUUUUCUCUACUAUUGCUUCUGUUCGUGCUGAGCAGGGAGAGUAGCUACAGCCUGUAGAUGUGAGCAGAGGCAUGAAGAGGAGGGGAGUAGCGCAGUCGGCCUGGGAGGAAAGGAUCUAGUGGUUCUGUGUAUCGGCUGUGGUGCCGCUGGGUGCAGCGAGCGGACGGUGGGAGGCUAAUGGACACCAGCAAUUCGAUGGCUAGAAUAUAGCAGUGAUUUGGCCAUUCGUUUUUGCAAAUUAAUGUGUGUAUAUGAUCUGUUGUUCAAUACUUCAAUACAUCAUAUGAUGAUGUAAUGAAUAAUUCAAGGAAUGGUUGAAAUUCCAUUCUUCUUCAGAUUUGGUUCUAGCUAGCACCUGUUACCUGAAAUUUAUGAGCUGAAUUUAUUUACAAUAAUAAUGCACCAGAAAAUUGAUCAAUAAUGUGCAGUAGAAACACUAACCUUGCUGCAUGUUUUUUUUGGAGAUAAAUGGGAACCGUGGACACCGCAGGAAGAACUCCAAAUCCCAAGGGGGGUCAGAGGCAUCAGAUUUUUCUAUGUCAUCUCAUCUGGUAUGCUCCAUUCGACAAUAAUAAUGCACCAGAAAAUUGAUCAAUAAUAUGCAGUAGGAACACUAACCUUAAAUCCCAAGGGGGGGUCAGAAGCAUCACUUGUUUCUAUGUCAUUUCAUGAGGUAACAUUAACUAUGCCUAGCGCUCAGAUAUAUUUGCUGGUCACUGUUUCAGCGUGUUUUUUAUAGGUAACUAGAGACAAAGGACUCCCCCAGAUGAUGAGUCGGCCAUUAGAAGAUAAGAAUGUGGAAUAUGAUGAUAGUAUAUGUAUUGAUUUUGGUUUUAAACCUGAUGAGGUGAAAGAGGCAGUACAAUACCUUGAUAAAGGAGAUCGUGAUGAGGUGAAGAAGCUUGGUUUUGGAACAUUUCUGGACCUAAGUAUUGGAGAUUUUAAACAAAGACAUCGACAACCUAUUGAUUCUAUUGUCAGAAACGUAACUGUCGAAAAAGAUAGAAUUGCAAUAUGCAUGCGGGAUGGUGUGAUUUUGUACUUGACACCCGAGAUCAUAUCUCUGUGAAUGAAUCUACCGCGUGGUGACAAGGGGCCUCUGGACUGCAAUCCUCAAAAGAAUACUGCAGAGCUUGCUAAUUGCCGCACUGAACUUGGUGUGAAAUCCUUGAAAGUUGAGAAUGUAGUUGAGGUAUUGAAGAAAACAAAGGACAGAAAAUUGAAGGUCAAAUGUUUUAUGCUUCUGGUAAUUUCCAGAAUUCUGAUGCCCACCACCACUACCAAGACUAUCAAUACAAAUGCAGUCAUGUAUACUAAAGAAAUGGACACCAUUAAAGACUUUGACUGGUGCACUAUAGUUUAUGACGAUUUAAGGACCUCAGUCAGUAGUUACAAAGACAAAUUGAAGAAACUUGCGCUGUGUCCACCGAAGAGCAAGCCAUCAAGGGUUAUCAGUGGAUGUGUAAUAAAGCUACUGGUAAGCAUCAACUCUACUUUUCCCAUUCAAAACCAAGCUGUGAAGCUCUGUCUGAACUAAUUCUGGUUGGCAGGCCUAUGUUGUUGACAACAUGGAGAUGGAGCUGCCUGAGAAGGAUGAUGAGGGUAGAAAAAAAUGCCCCAAGAUAAAUCAAUAUAAUAUGGAGUUUUUGAUGGAGAUGAUUUGUAAAGCUAUGCGCAAACGCAAAGAUUGCCCUCCUACAUUUGAGAUGUUUAAGGUAAGUACAAGGCAUCUGGCUCAAUUUUACUUGUGUGAAGAGGUAGGUUUUAGUUCUUAUCUGUUCAAUUUACCUUUUCAGCUGAAAGGAAUUGAGGAUACCUGCUAUCGUGAAACUUCAAGGUAUAUUGUGUCCUCAAGGGACAUAGAAUCCCUAAAUUCUGUAGCGACAUCAUCUGUGUCUAGAGGUGUGCCUCCGUUUGCAAAGAUCGGGUUCCCAUUAGCCCAUCAACACCAAGGGGUACUUGCUGAAGUUGAGCGAGUUGGUCCAAGUGCUCGGCUUAAGUCACAAGCAUCAAAAUGCUUGGCUGUACUGAAGGAUAUCACUUAAGGGUUUAGUCAAGAUCAGGUGGAUCAACUGUACGAGAACCAUGUGCUUUCCAAGAUUGGUCAAUGUGGCAGUCACCAUGUUGUGGACAUCAAUGACCACACUAUCCCUGAAGUUACGCUUGUUAAUGCCUUCAAGCCCAAGGGUGAGAUGGUCUCGAUCAUUAUUCAUGCACAAUGUUCUAUAUGGAAUAUGCAACAUCAUGACCGAGUUUAUCUAAAACAAGAAUGUGUUGAUGAUUUGAUUGUUGGAAUUUCUUCUAUAAAUCUGAGCAGACAGCUAGACAUAUACCGUCAGCCAAAUACAUUAAAGCAUGUAACUCAGGUUGGUUGGUUUUUUCCUGUUUUGUUAUUUUAAUAGGUUCAUUGGAUGGCAUGAUCAUGUUCUUGUUCUUGCAGAUAUUUGUCCCUCUAUUCCAUGACAAACACUUCUCUCUUAUUGUGGUGAAUCUUCAAAAUGGUUCUUUUGAUUGUCUGGACUCAAUGACUAGGCCUACAGGGAACCCUGUAGAGGAAAAAGUGAUUGCAAAUAUGCGUCAAUACUUGGCUGAAAGGUUUGACAUAUCUGAUGUUGAUACAUGGCCUCAAGCAGUCUUGCCAGUUAGGCAGCAAAAGAACACUUAUGAUUGUGGCUUUCGUCUGAUGCUUCAUAUGAUACAUUAUAGGACGAAAGACAUGAAUAGGAUUGAUGAGGUUAGUGCUGGCAAGUCUUGUCUUUUACUUAGUUUUUUGCUGGUGUUUUACUUAGUUUUACCUUAGAUAUACAGGACAUGGUCUUCAGAUACCGCAGAAGACUUGCGGUUGAGUUAUUAUAUAAUGAACAAAACAAAGUGAAGCCCCAUAGAGACCAAGCCUUGAGUUCUUAGGUGUCCAAUUAUUGCCACGGCAGUCCAGAUGUUGCCGUCAUCAGGUCUCAACCGCAACCUUCUGAGACAAAUAAGCCACCUGAGAAACAUAGUUCCAAACGGAAGGUCAAUAAGGCACGUGGUCCCAAACGGAAGGUCAACAAGAAACAUGAUGCCUUGACAGAGACAAAUGAGGAAGUAGCUGCUUCCAACAUGAAGAUGAAACCUGCUGGCCCGAAGACAAAUGAUCAGAAGCCACCUUCUCCGCCACCUGCUUCCAAACCUGCUGAACCUACUGGCAACGAAUGUCGCAGGACCAAUAGGGUAAAGCUAAGACAUAACUAUGGUGUCCUUGACAAGGGUACCUAAAGAUAAAGUGAGAGUCAAACAAGAGGCAAAAAGGGUAAAAAGGUGAAAGGCAGAUCCAGAGCUUUAGAGUUUGGACUCUCGUUUUUGCUUGACAUCAGAUAUUUGGACAGCAUCACAAAAUCUAGGAUACAAGGAAGCAUGUACUGACAGCAGUCUUUGUAUGUUGGUUGCAUUGGCUUUCCUGUUAGUAGUUUUGGUGAUGUAUUAUAACAUUUUUAAGCAGCUAGCUGAGCAGAUUAUCUUGUAAUGAAGUAGUAGCUUGUCCCUUUGUUCUGUGAUCAUUCAGUUCUACAAGGAGAGAAACCUGUUUGUCAGUAGUUCUUGCUCAAUCAUAUUAUUAAGCUUUUGCAUGUAUGUGUAGUGUGGAGCUUAUUAGUAGUUCCUGCUUCUAUCUAGUUCCCACGAACAUGUGAUGUUUUUUUAUUUUUCCUAGAUUAUAUAUUUUUGAUAUAAACACACCGCUCCAAAUUUAUUAGCUUUUUAUUCCACCUCAUUCGCUCUCUAUUUUUGAAAUUAUUAUCUGGUUGGGUAUCAUUGGCAAUGACGGAAUUCGUGACUAACUUUAUUAUCCUGCCAAACACAAGUUCUAAGUUCACAGUCUCCAUAAAUACAAACAAAACCCAAAGUCCAUGGUCUGCUCAACUUUUGUUAUGUCAAUUGGAUUCCAAGCCCACGAUAUCAUGCAGAGAAUACCUACUAUUCUGACACUGAGGUGGUGUGUUACGUACCGAAGAGGAAGAGGAGCUAUCAGACUAGUUUAUGUUUAAAUACUUUGUUCUUAAUAUAGUUCAACUUUUGUUAUGUCAAUUGGAUUCCAAGCCCUCGAUACUUUGAGUUUCAUGCAGGGAAUACCUGUAAUUCUGACAAUGAGGUGGUGUGUUACGUACCGAAGAGGAAGAGGAGGUAAUCUGACUAGAGGGGAAACAUGGCAGGAAGAGAAAAGCUGGAGCAUUGCUGUUUUGGGAAUGCUUGGGAAUGCCACCGUAGCGGUCAAAUAACUAGUGAGCUUAGGUGGACAGAAAUGCCACCCUAGUGGUCAAAAUGCCUGCUUUUUGUUUGUAUAUACAUGCUGCAACAGCUGCUGAAAAUGCAUGAUACUAAUAUCAGCUUAACAGGGCAUUAUUAUCCUUUUAAAUUUGUGUUCUAGUGUUCAAAAGUUGCAUUUGUUACCCUGGUGUUGCUCUGUAUUCUGUUGAUUCAAUUUUUCAUGUUGUUCAUUCAUCAAACCAUCAAGAAACUUGCAAGCCUCGGUUGUACCACUGGGACUUCAAGAUGGCUGAGGCAGCAAUAGUUCUCAUCAACUGUUGUUCCUGUUGGACUCCUGAUGGCUGAGGUUGCAAGUUUAUUGAAGAUUUCAUGCCCUCCAUGUGUAAGCUGGAUCUGAGAUAAACAUAACUUUCUUCAAUUUACAUCAACAUGCAAGCUGGAUCUGGCAUCUCGCUUUCCUUGUUUUUUUAGUUUUAUCACUUGCAGGAUAUGCACAAUUAAACACGUUUCCAUCAUAAGUCAACAUAUAUUUAAAAGCAAUAUUUCAACACAUUUCCUACAUUUUCUAUCCAGAUCAACAUAUAUGCAAAAUCAUAACAUAUGAAUUAAACUCAACAUAUAUGUAAAAUCAACACGUUUCUGGCCUAAAGUUUUCUUAUUUAUCAACAGAGGUUACCGUCGUUGUCGUCAUCCUUGCUCUCUGGAUCUACCCUAAAAUAAGCACAUUAGGGAACACCGUGGUAAAACGACACAUUACUAUUGCUGAUUCACAGAGCAAUACCCCCGUAAAAAGAUACUAUACUUAAAUAAAUGCAACAUACGGUAUAGGGAAACACUAUACAUUUUAAUUAUGAACACCACUAGUCUGCUUUGGCUGCCACAAAGCUGGUCCGUUUUGGCUCGUGCGGAGUUGGUCCGUUUUGGCAUCAUAUAUAGUAGCUGCUAGAAGUCCGGCUUCUGUUUCGAAGUGUCACACUUUUUAACUAACUGUAGCUUUUUGUAUGUAUGUAGCUGUCUCAUGACUAGUGUCGUAGUUUAUACAAUUAACUGUACCUUUUUGCAUUGUAGUUUCUUAUUUGUAUUUGUAGUCCUGCUGUAGUCUCUUAACGUUAUUUUCACAUUUGUAAUAUUCUCCAUAACAUUGCUAAUACCAUAGUCCAACCCUGAUUCAUGGACAUAGGUUAUCUUUGAAGUAUCGCUAAUCAUUAAACAAGGAAGCAUGAAAGCACGUUAUAUGAAUAAUAAAAAUCACAUUACAAAUAAAUACAAAGUCACUACCACAAAACUGAAUACCCUUGAGGGUCAAAAACCCUCAAGGAAACCCCUAAAACCGCCAAAGAAAUCAAUAUUGGCGGCUAGCACUCAAGGAAUAGUCGCCAAGGGUAGAGAGACAAGGUGCCGGCCGCCACAAAUCAAUUUCUUGAGGGUUAAACCAUCGAGAAAAUAAAUCAGUGGUCAGAUUUUUAACAUCGUCAAGAAAAUAUAACGACACCCAAGGAUAUAGGUUUCCUUGAGUGCCAAUGACACUCAAGAAAAUGUAAAAACACCCAAGGAUAUAGGUUUCCUUGAGUGCCGAUGGCACCCAAGAAAAUGUAAAAACACCCAAGGAUAAAUAUUUUCUUGAGUGCCGAUGACCCUCAAGGAUAUGCAUGGAAAAAAAAGAGAAACAAUCUCAUAUUUGUUGUAGCUGAGAAUCGAACUCAUGACCUGAUGUUCCAUGUGAAACUAACUUACCACUACACCACAAAGUCUUUUGUGACUAAGUGAAUGUUUCUUUCUUUUUGUUUUCACUUUAGUGGAUCUUGUAAUGAAUAUUUGAGAACCUAAAUGAUUUCAAAUGAAAAAAGUUUGAAUUAUAAAGUUUUAUAUCUCAUCGAGUACUAUAACUUUGGUUUAGGUUGUAUCUCUAUCUGAGGUCAUUUGAAUAUUCAAAAAAUUUAAAGUUUAAAGUUCUAAUAAUUUAAAACAUAUUUUAUGGACCUCAAAUAAUUUCAAAUGAAAAUUUCAUCAACUAAGAAGUUGUAUAUCUCUUUGGGCUCUAUAACUUUGAUAUAAACUUUGCCUCCAUACGAUAUUAUGUUACAUUUUAGCUUUAAAAUAAGCAAGCAUCUCAAGCUAAGUGCUAGUAUAUGCAUUCUCUAAUGCAUAACAACACAAAAUUAUAACUUUUAUUGGAUUAAUUUACUAACAAAAAUUAUAUAUCAUUUUCCAAACAUGUCAAUGGAGCGUUUAUGUCUAUAAAAUGCAAUGUCUAACUAACAAGAAUGCAAUGAGUUCACUAUAUCGAUGGUUAAGAGAAAUAUGACCAUAAACUGUUUUUUCCUUGGCAGCUAUAAUAAUUUACUUGAGGGUUUACACCCAAAGAAACUAGAACUUCCUUGGCGGUUUCUAGUUACACCCAAGGAAAUGUGAAUUACCUUUGGUGGUUUAUAAUAACACUCAAGGAAACAUAGAAUUACCUUGGCGGUUUCAACUAGCACUCAAGGAAAUAUAGAUUUAACUUGGCGGUUUGGUUUAGUACUCAAGAAUAUGCAUUUUCUUGGGGGUUUUAUACAACCCUCAAGGUAAUUGUAUAUCCUUGGGGGUUUAAUUUCGCCCCUCAAGGAAAUUGCUGGCCCUCAAGGAUACUCAGUUUUCUGGUAGUGAGUAUCGAUCAGUACAAUGAAAUUAUAGUACCAUCAAAUCACAUUACACUAGUACAGAGAGAUACUAUACUGGCGGUUCGCAACCCCUUUGUACAGGCGGAUUGACGAACCGCCAGUAGCUAUAGGCCUGUGGAAAUAAAAGUUUCCACAGACGGUUAACUGAUAACCGCCUGUAGAAACCGAUUUCUACAGGCGGUUCAGUUAUGAGAUCCGCCUGUGGAAAUCAGUUUCUACAGGCGGUUCUUUUAUGUAAGAAAUUGGAUUCUACAGGCGGUUCUCAUAACAGAACCGCCUGUGGUAAGAUUUUCCAAAACCCUAUUUUUACACAACAAGAAAUAAGGCUUUACAUGACGAUUUACUGGUGACGUUCUAAGAAAGCAUCAUAGAAUUGUAUUGUCUGUGACGGUUUAUUCUUGAGGUAAUAUAUCUAUGAUGACUGGUUAAAUUAUCGUCAUGGUUGAACGUCAUAGAUCAUUUUGGCACCUUUGUGGUAAACCUAAACCGUAAAGUUAUAGCUAAUGUUUAAAGUUAAAUGAAUUAUAACAUCUUAGGUGUUAGACAGUCAUUAACACAAAUCAUUGAUGCAUCAACAAAACUAAGAAAUAUAUUGCAUAGAUAGAAACGGAAGUCCUACUUUCCCCGGACUCUAGAAAGCCAAGGAAUUAAAAAAAAAUCAUAAAUAGAAACAAAAAAUAUAGUUGCAUAAAAAGAAAAAUAAAAACAAAAAAGAAGAAGAAAAGAACACGCCACAUAAAUAUAGAAGAAAAAAAUAAAAACCGAGAGAGAGGAGACUGGUUAUAAACAAGUCCUACUUUCCCAUCCCCAUCGUUCUCUCGCAGUCACCUGAGGGCCGACUCCCUUCGUAGUCUUUCUCUCUGUCUCUCUCGAUCUCCCUCACAGCGCCGUCCUCCCUACUCCUCCGCCCAGAAGCCUCCGCAUCCGGCGGCCACCCCUUCCUGCUCCUCCUCCAUAGGCCACCACCUUCACAUCUGGCGCCCUCCCCGCCGGAUGUUGCCCCUUGGCGCUCCUCCCCUUCUCUCUGGCGCCCCCCUCUCUCAGCCCGGUGUCCAGAUCUACUGGUCCGAGCACAAUCGCAUCAGGAAGUGGCAGCUCCGAGCACAGUUUAAUUUGAGUGUCCGAGAUGAGCCCGUAUUCCGGCCGCCAAAGUCUUGGUCAGGCCCUCUGCAGGCGACGAGCAGCCACAACAACGGCCACGUAUGCUUGUUUCUUCUCUUCCCUUCCUUUUGUGCAAAAUUGAGGAUCCCUAAUUUAGGCUAUUUGGUUAUACAUAUUCGAAACUGAUCUGAUAUAAUCCCAAGUGUAUGCAUGUAUGCUGCAGGAUGUGGGUUUAAUUUCUUUAAUAUGACUAUUACUGUUUUUACCAGAGCAAUACAUGUUGAAAAAUUUGUACUAUCAUACUUUCAGUAUCUAUAGAGACCUUUCUUAUAGGUGAAAUUAAUUAGGCAUGUGUAUCUACUGUCAGAUAAAAUAUGUUGCUACGCAGGUUUCAGUAUCUGUAGAGAUCUUUUGUAACACUGAAGUUACUAAUGUAUGCCUUAUUAAGUAUUAUCAUGGCAGAUGAUUGACCUUAAAUUAAAACCCACUUGCUUUACCUUGCAGAUGUGUGACCUUAAAUUUAGUAGUAUUCAGAACUUAGUAACCCACUUGUCGAAUGCAGAAAUAUGGUUGAAAUGGUUUGCCACUUGUUGAACUUAGUAACCCACUUAGGGCCUGUUUGGUUAUCAGGGAUUGGACACUGGGAACAAUUCCAACUUGAAAUGUUGUGCUAAUUUGUACUAACUUUGCUCACAGGAAAUGAUUCUGGGAGGAAUUAUGCCUAAGCGAAUGAUAUUAACCCUUUGGGCAGUAAUUGUUUACAGAUUUUAAAAUACAUCUCUGAGAGGAGUAGGAAAGAGCAAUGAUGGCAGGAAGAGGGUAGAUAUCCACAGGAUGCGGCAGUACAGGUUGCAGCUCGAAUAGAAACUUGGUGAUAUCUUGGUCAUAUUACUUUACAUGAGCGACACUGAACCAUCAUAUCCACUAUUUAAAUAUGAAAAUUAUUUGCAAAGUACUAGUUAUGCAAAGCCCACUUUGGCAUGGAGGAGAAAAUGUUUCUAGAUGUUUUAGGCAAUUGAAUUCCCCUACUACAGAGUGCUAGAGCACUGAACAAUAGGUACUGAAUAUUAAUUAUUAUUCAAAGUAAAAUAUAUGGAUGCAAUGUGCUGAAAUAGAUGUCCUGCACUGAUAAAGAUUUAGUGGUGAUUCACUAAAUGCUGUUAUGGAAGUAUUAAAUAUAAAUGACUUGUUGUGCAGCGUGCAUUUGUACAUAUAUUUGGAAAUAGAUUGCAAGAUUGUCGUUGUGCUUCAUGAUUUCUAAUUCUUGCUAUUGAUUCUGUUUUUCUUAAACCUCAAUCAUUCAGAUAUGCAAGCAAGUGGCAGCACUGUUUUCAAACUUUAAGGUAUGAACAAAUUCAAGUGGACUAUGUGGCAGCAUUGCUCUUAGGCUCUAAAGGCAUGCACUGCUCAGUUUUGGGUGAGUAUUAAGUAUUAGUCCUGCACUUCUUUGGCAGAUUGUCUCUAUGUAGUUGAAGGCUUACAAUUUUGUUGGCUCGUAGUUGCACGGUCUAGGAUCCAAUGCUCAUGUUUCUCCACACAUAUGAGUCUUAACUGGCCAAAAGAUUUACAUUUUUUCAAAGAUAGUACCUUUGCACAUGUGAGUUUUAUUACUGAUCAAGUAUUCUCUGCAGAUGUUUUAUGAGGCUAUCUAUGGAUUGCGGCAAAAGGAUCAAGGCGCUCAUGGUGGCUAUUUUCAUUAGUCGUGAAAGAUUUUGUUGUGCGAGCAAAACAUCUGGGUUGUUGUUGUACAAGCCAACGUCUUAGUUUUCUAGAUACUUGAGUGUAGCUUGGUUAUUGCCUUAGUAUUUCGUGUGAAAUAUUGUACAAGUACAAAUGUUGAUGGUUUUAAUGAAAAUGAUGAGCAAUAUUUGUCAAUUGUGAGUUUUGUUCCAGUUUAUGUGUGUUUCAUGAGUGUUUCAGCAAAACCAUGACAGUUCAGUUCAUCACCAUAGUCUCUUCCUAUAGUUGCCCUCUGGUUCGUCCAUGACGAUCCAAAAAAUCACCCCGUGACGUUCUAUUUUGGUCUAAAAAAUGUAUCACGAGGAAUAGAUGACGUUCCUAUGAACCGUCAUAGAUAGUUAAUUGUGACGGAUUUUUGCUUGUCUGUGACAGAAUCAAACCGUCAUGUAUAAGUUAAUUUCUUGUAGUGUUAAUAUUAUAUAUAUAUAUAUAUAUUAUAUACAUUAAUAUUGAAACUAUGUUAGGCUACAAGAUUCAACCAAUGCAACAUGCAAUAUAUUUAUAUAUACCAUUACUUUGUACAUAAAAUUAUAUUAAUUACAAACAUCACACAUCAAAGUUUUUUGUUUACAGACAUAUGAGGUUUCACAUCUGAAACCUCUGCUCUAAUAACCCGAUCGAGAUAGCUUUAGCCUACUAAUAUCUCUUAGCGCUCUAAACUCAGGCUUUGCUAGGAUGCUGGUCGGGUCGUGAUAUUUCCCUUCGGUGGGAAUGGCUUCUCUCAAGAGAAAAGUGCAGAGGUCCUCAACUAUGUUAUAUAGAACAGCUUGAGUCACGCUCUUCGCCUUUUCCAACUCAUGUUGCUGCAGAGGAAGUUAGAAACAUCAUAAAUUUAUAGUUCAUAUAACACAUGCUUAGCAACAAAAAAUGACACAAAUAAUAUAAACGACUAUUAGAGCAAUACCUUAGAAGGGUUAGUUACAUAUCUUCCGGUCUCUCUCAUGAACUCGCAGACGUAGAAUCCAUAGUGGACCGAUCCGACUGGUUGCUUAUGGCACUGAUGUAUGACAAAAAAGUGGAUACUUAUUAGUUGCAACAUCGUCAUAUGCAUAUUAUAUUUAUAAAAGACAGCUUGUGAUAUUUUGGUACAUACCGGCCAUUUAUAAAAUAAUCUCAAUGGCUGCCCCGGUUCUGAUUAAUCACACCUUCCACCUUUGAUCUUAUAAUACCUAUAGGCCCUAUAGUAUCGAAUACACAAUCCUCAAGUUAUUCUGAAACUCUUAUAAAAGUAGGUAUGGAUAUUUAAUGUACUCAGCUUACCGUUCCAAGUGUGUAAUGAAUUUUGCAUAACUUGAAGGAUCAUAGUCUGCAGAGUCUAGGACUAGCACACGUCCUAGACUAGGAUUAAUGAGGAGGCAGAUCCAGUGGUCCCUGAGAGAAUCGAAUUUAUGAUGCAAGGUGCAUGAUUUAUUGAUACAAAUCCCAUCACCUUUUUUUGCGUGGGGAAUUGUUUUAGAAUAGUUAGGCAAAUUUCUGAUCAUAGGCUAAUUUAUUUGAUUUGUAUAGGUCCUCUGAGACUUAUCACUAAUAGGUUGUUUCUCUUUGUUGGAUAUGUCACUUUUACCAUUAUGAUGUAACUUCGCAAUGUGGCAUGUCGCACUUUUGGCCAUGGAUUUGGCUAGAAAAUGCAUUGGAUAGGGUAGCAAGAAGAUGGAUCAAAAAAAUUACUAUACUCUACAUGUAACUCUUAGAUGACUUGGACGAACUACACAUGAUAAAUCUGGCCUGAUAGGUUUCGGCUUGACUGGCUACAUCUAUGAGAUCUCUUAAAAGCAAGGAAACUAAUGGGAUAAGAGGGAAAAGUACUCUGUCGACUGCUUAGAUAUCUCAAAAGUAAUCAUUGGGAAACAUGUCCUUAACUUGCAAAAUAUAUGGAAACAUUUUGGUAAAUUACCUUUUGAAAAUGCACUCGAGAGUAUGGAAACUAGUGGGAUAAGGGGAAAAGUACCCCGUCAACUAAUUAGAUCUGUCAAAAGUAAUCAUUGAGGAACAAUGUCCUUAACUUGCUAGAUGUUAGGCAAUAUUUCAAUAACUCCUAGAGGGAAAAGUACUCCAUCGGCUACUUAGAUAUCUCAAAAGUAAGACCGAAUAUCCCAACACUUGGAUCCAAGUGCCCGAGUCUCUGGUUGAGUCCUUUUAUUACUUAGCUUGGUUCCGUGGACUAAUUAGAUCUCUAAUCAUUAAGGAACAAUGUCCCUAAGUUGCUAGACGUUAGGCAAGAUUUCAAUAACUCCUAGAGGGAAAAGUACUACAUCGACUACUUAGAUAUCUCAAAAGUAAUCAUUGGGGAACAAUGUCGUAAACUUGCUAAAUAUAGGGCAACAUUUUAAUAAUUCCCUUUAGAAAUGCAUUGGACAGGGUAGCAAGAAGAUGGAUCAAAAAAAUUACUAUACUCUACAUGUAACUCUUAGAUGACUUGGAUAAAUUACACAUGAUUAAUCUGGCCUGAUAGGUUCGGGCCUGACUGGCUACAUCUAUGAGAUCUCUUAAAAGCAAGGAAACUAAUGGGAUAAGAGGGAAAAGUACUCUGUCAAAUGCUUAGAUAUCUCAAAAGUAAUGAUUGGGAAACAUGUCCUUAACUUGCUAAAUAUAUGGAAACAUUUCAGUAAAUUACCUUUUGAAAAUGUACUCGAGAGUACGAAAACUAGUGGGAUAAGGGGAAAAGUACUCCGUCAACUAAUUAGAUCUCUCAAAAGUAAUCAUUGAGGAACAAUGUCCUUAACUUGCAAGAUGUUAGGCAAUAUUUCAAUAACUCCCAGAGGGAAAAGUACUCCAUCGGCUACUUAGAUAUCUCAAAAGUAAGACCGAAUAUCCCAGCACUUGGAUCUAACUUCCCGAGUCUCUAGUUGAGUCCUUUUAUUUCUUAGCUUGGUUCCGUCGACUAAUUAUAUCUCUCAAAAGUAAUCAUUGAGGAACAAUGUCCCUAAGUUGCUAGAUGUUAGGCAAGAUUUCAAUAGCUACCAGAGGGAAAUGUACUCUAUCGGCUACUUAGAUAUCUCAAAAGUAAUCAUUGGGGAACAAUGUCGUAAACUUGCUAAAUAUAGGGCAACAUUUUAAUAAUUCCCUUUAGAAAAUGCAUUGGACAGGGUAGCAAGAAGAUGGAUCAAAAAAAUUACUAUCCUCUACAUGUAACGCUUAGAUGACUUCGAUGAACUACACAUGAUAAAUCUGACCUGAUAGGUUUGGGCCUCACUGGCUACAUCUAUGAGAUCUCUUAAAAGCAAGGAAACUAAUGGGAUAAGAGGGAAAAGUACUCUGUCAAAUGCUUAGAUAUCUCAAAAGUAAUCAUUGGGAAACAUGUACUUAACUUGCUAAAUAUAUGGAAACAUUUCAGUAAAUUACCUUUUGAAAAUGUACUCGACAGUACGAAAACUAGUGGGAUAAGGGGAAAAGUACUCCGUCAACUAAUUAGAUCUCUCCAAAGUAAUCAUUGAAGAACAAUGUCCUUAACUUGCUAGAUGUUAGGCAAUAUUUCAAUAACACCCAGAGGGAAAAGUACUCCAUCGGCUACUUACAUAUCUCAAAAGUAAGACCGAAUAUCCCAGCACUUGGAUCUAACUUCCCGAGUCUCUAGUUGAGUACUUUUAUUUCUUAGCUUGGUUCCGUCGAUUAAUUAGAUCUCUCAAAAGUUAUCAUUGAGGAACAAUGUCCCUAAGUUGCUAGACGUUAGGCAAGAUUUCAAUAGCUACCGGAGGGAAAGGUACUCUAUCAGCUACUUAGAUAUCUCAAAAGUAAUCAUUGGGGAACAAUGUUGUAAACUUGCUAAAUAUAGGGCAACAUUUUAAUAAUUCCCUUUAGAAAAUGCAUUGGACAGGGUAGCAAGAAGAUGGAUCAAAAAAAUUACUAUCCUCUACAUGUGACUCUUAGAUGACUUGGAUGAACUACAUAUGAUAAAUCUGGCCUGGUUUGGGCUUGACAGGCUACAUCUAUGAGAUCUCUUAAAAGCAAGGAGACUAAUGGGAUAAGAGGGAAAAGUACUUUGUCGACUGCUUAGAUAUCUCAAAAGUAAUCAUUGGGAAUCAUGUCCUUAACUUGCUAAAUAUAUGGAAAUAUUUCAAUAAAUUACCUUUUGAAAAUGCACUCGAGAGUAUGGAAACUAGUGGGAUAAGGGGAAAAGUACUCCGUCGACUAAUUAGAUCUCUCAAAAGUAAUCAUUGAGGAACAAUGUCCUUAAGUGUCUAGAUGUUAGGCAACAUUUCAAAAACUCCUAGAGGGAAAGUACUCCAUCGGCUACUUAGAUUUCUGAAAAGUAAUCAUUGGGGAAUAAUGUCUAUAAAAUGCAAUUGGCCCACGUGGAAGCUUGCCACCUCCACACACAAGCACAUACAUAAUGUAAUAUUUUUAUUGGAAACAAACUAUUUGGCAAGUAAUAUUUAGCAAGUUUAGGACAUUGUUCCCCAAUGAUUACUUUUGAGAUAUCUAAGUAGCCGAUGGAGUAGGUUUCCCCCUAGGAGUUAUUGAAAUGUUGCCGAACAUCUAGCAACUUGAGGACAUUGUUCCUCAAUGAUUACUUUUGAGAGAUCUAAUUAGUUCAUCAACUUGCUAAUUAGGCCAGAUUUAUCAUGUGUAGUCAAGCCCUAAACCUAUCAGGCCAGAUUUAUCAACUUGCAAGUUUUGAGAGAUCUAGCAAGUCAAGCCCAAACCUAUCAGGCCAGAUUUAUCAUGUGUAGUUCGUCAAAGUCAUCUAAGAGUUACAUGUAGAGUAUAGUAAUUUUUUUGAUCCACCUUCUUGCUACCCUAUCCAAUGCAUUUUCUAAAGGGAAUUAUUAAAAUGUUGCCCUAUAUUUAGCAAGUUUACGACAUUGUUCCCCGUCCAAUGCAUUUUCAAAAGGGAAUUAAUGAAAUGUUGCCCUAUAUUUAGCAAGUUUAGGACAUUGUUCCCAAAUGAUUACUUUUGAGAUAUCUAAGUAGUCAACAGAGUACUAUUCCCCUUAUCCCACUAGUUUCUUGAGGACUUUACAACUUUUAAAGCAAUCACUAAUGAACUCAUGUAGAUACUCGAAGAGCAUACCACUCGUCUCCAGAUUACGUACAUUGGAUAGCAGCGCCUCCUUCGGCACUCUAGAAUCAAUCUCCACUUCAAUUCUUUAUCAACCGAAUUCGAUGAAAACCAAUCACAUUUGAUGAAAGGGAAUCGAAUUCGGUAAUCUUUAUGGAAUUGGAUUUUCCUUCCUUGGAAAUCGAAUUUGGUUUAUGUCAACUAAAUUCGAUGAACGAUAAUCAAAUUCGAUGAUAGUGAAUCGAAUGCGGUACAGUUCUUCGAAUUCGAUGUUAUGGCUUUCAAAAAAAGAAAUAUACCCAAACAUUGCCAAAUCCAUGGUCAAAAGUGCGACAUGCCACAUUGCGAAGUUAUGUCAUUAAUGGUAAAAGAGACAUAUCCAACAAAGAGAAACAACCUAUUAGUGGAGGAGAGAGGAGAAAUCAUUAUCAGAGGUAGCCAUCAAAGUUAGGGUUUAGAGCUUUUCUCCCACAGAGAAUUAGAAUUAGCUACUCCCUAAUCCUUCAAGUUUAGAGGAUUGAUUAGAUAGAAUUAGAGAAGUAGAACACUACGCUCUGGAUUCGGAUCUUUGUUAAUAAAGAUUGGUAUUAUUUCAUAUCUUUCUCUAAUACUUUGUUCUAAUUGCAAUAUGUCUCUAUUUAUUAUGUUCUUAGUUUGCUCUAGUUCUAUAUUUGAUAUAGUUAUGAUUGAUAAUGAGUUUAUGUAUAAGUUUGCAAAGCGCUUAGCUCUUGACACGUGGGAGUUAAGUGGUAGAUCACAUGUGGGCGUGGUGCUUAGAUGUUAUUUACCUGCAAAUGUAUCCUAUUGGCCGGGUUGUGUGGUAGUUCGCGGUAGUGACAGCUUCGUUGAUUUUUAUAUAGUCCACCCUCCAUUGAUAGGACGGGCAGAAUUUGUAUUGCGGAGUGAGUCUUGCGAUGCUCUGAUUUACUUUAGCAAUGUUCCUUAUACAUGAAUGAAGAGUCUUUUAUACUAUAUAUGAUCUUGUAGAUAACUAGAGUAGAUUGUGACUUAGUAGAUAGUAGAUAACUUAGAAUCCAUUCUCUAGCUAAUCCGACGUCACCUUAUAUAUAUGAGGAGUAGUCUAUUUUCUAAUCGCUGUGUUAUUUACCCAUGAGCUUAUAUUUCAUUAUCAUUAGUAUUAUGGAUUACCCCUUGUCAAAGUAAGUGACUGUGUGACGAGUUCCUCAUUAGUAAUUAUGUUCUUGCAAGUUUAUCUCUAGUCUAUGCCUUGAUAGAUUUUAUCCUUAUUUUAAUUUCACCCUUGUCCUCCUAAGCAAAAUUAUAAAUAACGAUACCUAGAAUACUUUUCCUGGUGAAAUGCUACAAUGAGGUGUUUUAUCUGUUCGCUUGCGGAUAGAAUAGAUUAUUUUCUAGAGAGCCUUUACAUUCAUAAAUACCUUUAUACACUCUGGCACCAUGCUGGGGAUGACAACCUAGUAUUCAAGUGGUGUUAGCUAGUGUCAACAAGCAUUUCUGGCACCGUUGCCGGGGAACAAAAGGGAAACACAUAGGAACGGUAAGGAAAGUCAGGAAAUCAGUCGAGGUUAUUCACAUAAAAUAUUAGACUAGACUAUGGAGAAAUAAUUGCAUAAAAGCUACUAAGUGAGAAAUCAUAACAAGGCACCUCUGCUUUGGCAGGUUCACCCUGUUGUUUUUCUAUGUUUAUAUUUUUAUACAGGGUAUAUCAGGAUUGACUUUGGGUACGUUCAACUCUUCAUCAUCAGAACCAAAGCAAUCAAGAAAGGAAGAAGAAGCUAGCUACCAAUUGCUGAAGCUAUGGCACAAAAGACUUUGCAAGAAUUCUCUGCUCCAAGUCUUGAGAACAUUCCAACUGGUCCAAGAUUUGCAGUAGAAGAAGGAGCACCCGAGUUCGAGCUCAAGUCAAGCCUCAUCAAUUUGGUACAAGCUACACAAUUCAGUGGAAAGGCACAUGAAGAUGCUAGUGCACACUUGCAGAAUUUCUUAGAGAUUGGAAGCACAAUCCACAUCAACGGAGCUGACAAAGACGUCAUACUACUUCGCCUUUUUCCAUUCUCACUAGAAGGGAAGGCGAGGAAGUGGUUUUACACUCAUCAAGAUAACAUCAACAACUGGACGAACUUGUCAGAUGCCUUUCUAUCAAAGUUUUUCCCUAUAGGCAAAACAACUGCCUUAAGAGGAAAUACUGUCAGUUUCCAACAGCAGAAGACAGAAACCAUUCCAGAAGCAUGGGAGCGUUUUCAAGGAUACAUAUCAGAUUGUCCUCACCAUGGAAUGGCCACAUGGUUACUUAUGUAGACCUUCUACCAUGGAUUAACCCAGAAGGCUCGUGAGUGCCUAGAUGCAUCUGCUAAGGGAUCAUUCUUGGAGCUUACAAUUUGAAAAGCAGAGAUACUUUUGGAUAAGAUAGCAGAAAACCAAAGCUGGUUCCAAGAUGAAGCUCAACAAUGUCAUCAAACUGAAGAAAUACCAGAAGAAGUAAAUGCAUUAUCAACCAAGAUGGAAAAUUUGCUCCAUUGGAUUGACUAGAGGGCCAAGUUUAAAGAAGAUCAAAGGGCCAUUGAGACAGCAUACAAAUAUCAACCUACUUCGAGUCAACCCAAUAGCAAAGGUAUGAAUUCAGGUAAUACUUUCAAGCAACUUUCAUUGAAAGAGAUAAUAGCUCAAGAAACUAAAACUAAUGAUGAAGUUAAACAAAGGCUAGACACAAAUGAAUCAUCUCUAAAAGAUAUACAUAAUAAAAUGGAUUUUCUAUUAACUGCCUUUGAUGAGCAAAACACUCUUAAUAAAAGGGUAGAGCUUAAAUUAAUAAAGCUAGCUGCUUCAUUGCCUGUUGCCACUAACAUUGAGCAGGUAAAGAACAUAACUACUAGAGGAGGCAAGGCCACCAGGGAUCCCCCGUACUCAAAAGAGAAACAAAGAACAUCAGCACCAGUGUAACCAGCAGUGAUAGAAGAAGAAAGCCUAGUUGAAGCAGAAGAUCUGCUACAAACAACAAGAACUCGAGAAAUGAGGAAAGAUUUUUACGACACCAACUAUUUUCCAUUUCCCAGAAGAAACAGAGGACUGCAGUCGGAUGAGCAGUUUGGUAAGUUUGUAGAGGUCAUUCAGAAAUUAUAUGUCAACAUACCUCUGCUUGAUGCCAUACAGGUACCUACAUAUGCAAAGUACAUCAGAGAUAUUCUUAACAAGAAGAGACCACUGCCCACCACUGAGGUUAUCAAGCUGACAGAAGAAUGUAGUGCGGCCAUCCUCAAUAAACCACCAAGGAAGAAGAAGGAUCCCGGAUGUCCCACUAUUGAUUGCUCGAUCGGAAACCAACACUUUAACAAUGCACUUUGUGAUCUCGAAGCAAGUGUCAGUGUGAUGCCAGCAUCAGUCUACGAGAAGCUUGAGCAUACGACCCUAGAACCAACAUCAAUGUGCCUGCAAUUAGCAGAUUAAUCAGUUCGACACCCGUUGGGCAUCGCCGAAAACAUUCCAGUCAAGAUAAGAAAUUUCCUUGUGCUAGUAGACUUCAUGGUACUGGACAUGAGUCCUGACUUAAAAGUGUCCCUCAUCCUUGGAAGGCCAUUUCUGAGCACUGCCAAUGCCCACAUUGAUGUCGGGAAGGGAGAAAUCAACUUCAACAUAAACGGACAAGAAGAACACUUCACAUUCAAGCCCAGACUAGAGAGAGACUCUAUAGUGAAGGAAGUUCAUGAAGAAGAACCACUGGAGACACCAUCUCCGGAGGAAGGUAAUUCAGAAGAUUAAAAGAUUUGGAGGUCCAGCUUGGUGGACCUAAAAAAUCCCAAAACCUCGCCGGGAGGUAAAUCGAUAUUUAUCCGCAUCAUUAAUUCUUGCAUAAUUAAUUCUUGCAUUAUUCAUAUUUAUUCAUAGCAUUACUAUAAUAAUGAAAAGCCCCAUAUAAAUAAUAUUUAUGGUGUGUAACAACCCAUAUUUAUUAAUUAUUGUGGAGGCACAAAAAUAUUUUCCAUUAUCAUUUCAAUAAGUUUCAAUUCUCAUAGAUUUUCCUGCAUUAUAUUUAUAGCAACCUUCUAGAAGCAUGACCCACACUCCUUGGGUCCCACAUGUCAUACACCACACCUCACACACAUCCCAUCGCAUUAUUUAAUCCACCAACAUAACUCCACUCACCAGCACUUUUCCAUCGACCAACCACCACCCAUGAACUAUUAUUCUGCGUAAGAGUUAAGCAAAGGAGGGAGUGGAGAAAAGGCAGCCAAGAUGGCCACCAAAGGUGGGUGGCCGCCCACCUACAGAGGGCGCCUGCCCUGUCCCCCCUUCCUCCUAUAAAUUGCCACCUCCUGCCUCCAUCUCCAUCACACAAGCCUCCCAGAAAGCCACGCAAGAUUCAGUUUCCAGAGAAGGAGCUCUUGUAGUGAAGUGAGAAGAGAGUAGAGAGGAAGAGAAGAGUAGAAGAGAGGUUGGUAGUCUUUGAGUGAGAGAGUGAGGUUUACCUAGUAAGUAGUGAUCCUGCUGUCCAAAGCGGAAGUAAAAAUUGUUUAGGGGGAGGUGCUGCCAAAAUAAAAACUUGUCUUGAACGACUAACCCCUAGACUACUGACAUUUCGGACAGCUAACCACUAACAUUUUUUCUCACAUUUUCCACUAGUUGUGUUUGUGUCAACUUUUGUUUGCAGGAUGUUCAAGAAGGUGAAGAGCGCUGGGAAGGCCCUCAAGAACAUAGGUACAAGGAGUUCAUCCCGACACUCCUCACACCCGUCAGAGAUGAGUGUCGACCCCACACCCCCGCAAGCUCCAUCAUCUUCGUCUGAUCCACAAGUCAAGGUCCUCCUCAAGAUAGGAGAACUUGGACUGAAGACCCGCAGGGAAAAGGGAGUUUACUAGCAGCUAAAGAAUAAGGAUUUCAUUCACACCCCCACUCUUGAUCCUAUCUUGCUACAAGAGACAUGUAUGGAUACUGAAUUCGAUUUGAUUUUCCAGAUGGUGGGAUGGACAAAUUUUUGGAACAUAACUGAGCUGGGUUCCCGUCUUCUCACCCUUGAAUUUCUUUGCACUUUACAUUAUUAUGAGGGGGGAAUUGCUUUUCGGAUGUUCAAACAGGACAUUAUGUUGUCUUGAAGAGAACUGAGCGACCAUCUCGGUUUCUCUUCAAGAUGCAUCCUGAACAUUGACUCCGACUUACCCAAUUUUGAGAGACACCAGUUCUGAAGAGAGAUAUCUAGAGAUGAGUUUUAUAGUCAAGCCCGAACAAGUGACAAGGAACACCCCACUCUUAGGAUGUUCCACAAAUGGCUUGGGUACAAUCUUUUCCAUCGUGAUGAUAUUAGAAAAGUAAGAGUAGAAGAUUUACAACUUCUAUAUGCUGCUAUAAAUAAAACCCACUUCACCUGUUACACUUUUGGUUUCUCAUUGGCUUAGUAUACCUAGUCUUCAGGGACCAGUAGGGUGUACUUCACUUAUCACUCGUCUAGCCUCUAAUUUUCAUUUGCUAGAAAACUCAUCAUUGGAAUUCAUAGAUGAGUUACAAAUUUAUCAUGGCUAUGACACAUUUAGGCAAGCUCAGAUGUUGAAAAAAGAGGGGAACAUAAUGUAUAUGUUAUACGAUAACAAAGGCAAGAUUCGGUUACCUAACCCGAACCUUGGCCUCUAUGUUGUUCAAAUUUUUUUUAUUGAGAUUGCAGUGACACCGGUAAACCAGAGAGCUCCACAACGAGUGGCAUCUGAAAGGAUGACCACCCAUCGAGAACGCACUUGGUAUGGAGCUGAUCCCAGGCCGGAAGAAGCAGUGCACCUACAUUAUUGUGACUACAACCCCCGAGUCCUUUGGGACCCAUGGGUUCGACAUGCUCAACCACAAGAGCCAACACAGGAGACAUGGCCGGAGAGCCAAGAUCACCAGUGGACAAACCCACCUUUCCGUACGGGCAGGUACUCCACUGAUCCAUAUGGAGCUUCAGGGUCUAGACCUCCGCCCCAAUUCGAUGCAGGACGAUACUCCGACGCCUCUUAUGCUUUCACGAACGACUACUACCAAGAGGCCGGCGCUUUCUUCACCCGUACCGACAACACCCUCCUCGACAUCCAGAAUAUGCAAGCAGAACAUGGAAGACUCCUGGAACAGCAACAAAAAUGGAACUAGGACCACGCCACUGCAGUACAAGAACUGAGACAAGACACCACGACAAUGAAUGACAACAUCACCACCAUGAUGAGGUUCUAGAACAUUGGGUAAGACCGACAACCACAUCUAGCUUGGGGGAGUUUCUCCCCAUUUUAUCAAGUAAGUUUUUAUUUGCUUUUCUUAUUUAUUCUUUUCUACUUUAGUAUUUUACCUUAAAGAGAAAAACUUAGAAAACCCAAUAAAUAUUUUCUUGCAUUAAAUUACUGCAUUUUAUAAACAUAAAAACAAAAUAAAAAGAGUGUGUAGAUAAGUGUGCUUUAUUUUUCCUGCUAAGUUUAAUCUCUAGAAAAAAAUAAAAGACCAAAAAAAUGCAUGAUGGAAAUGAUGAACAGUUGCUCUCUUUGCUUACUUUCAAGUACCUAACUUUCAUAUUAGAGUUCUUCCAGGAAUUAUUAAAACUGAAAAUUACUAUCUUUAGGAAGCAUAAAACUAAAGUCUAAGUAAGAAAAAGGCAUAAUAUAAAGUUUGAGCUACUGUUUAUCUUGUUCCUACUACACUAAGUUCUGGAGAUUUAUUUUGAAAACUUACAAAUCACAUGAUGAGUUCCUAGCAUGACAAAAUUCCUACCAGAGCCAUACUUGCUAUAACAUCCUUUCCUACUUAUAUUCACAUUGAGUUUGAUCGAGCUGUGUAGACCCUUAGGAGCUUUUCAUGUUGUUAAAUUAAGAUAUUCACUUGCACACAUCUACUACACCAUCCACUACCAUUCAUUAAAAUUGCUAAAAAUAUUAUCACUCACUUUCCCAAGUACUGUUAUUCUCUUUCUCCAAAAAGAUUCAAUGCAGAAGAGGCAUGGGUUAUGCAAAAACAUGCGAGGAAAUAAAAAGGGGCAAGUGCCCGAAACCUCGAGAAAGAAAGAAAAAGAGUGAGACGAGAGGUAAAAAUGGUCAAGUGUUCGGAGUAGAAUUAGGGGUACAAAGAUGCCCACUUGAGCGGAAAAAAAUAGACAAGUGUCCGAUAGUAGAAUUUGGGGUGUCUACUACCCACCUUAAAAAAAAGAGAAGAAAAGAGAUAGCCCAUGUUCUCUCAAAGCAAAAAUCAAAGAAGAGGAGAGAUAGCAAUAUGAGGAGCAAUGAGAAGUAAGCUUUAUCAUCACUUAUACAUUUUUACAAUCACUAUCAUUUACUUCACCACACAUGCACAUCUUGAUUUAAUUAUAUGCUGAGUUCCUUUGGAUCCAUGGUGUUGAUAUUUGGUAACGCAAAAAGGAAAUGAUCCGCAAGCGCACGGAUAUCGGUGAGCAUUUCACCCGAGAGGUUUUCCAAAGUAUCGUAUUUAUAUUUUUACCACUGGAAGAAAGGGUGCAUCUGACUAACCAAAUCUAUUGCUACUAUCCCUUUAGGCUACAAAGAAUGUUUCUUGAUGUGAGUGAUGUAUAGAGAAGACUGCAACCGUAGUCUCGUUCUAACCUUGGUAAGGAUGAUCUACUAUUCUAUUGGGGAAGCUUACGGAAUCUAGACACCACAAAGGAUGUUCGACCCGCACCUAUAAACCUACCCGUCCUGCUAACGAGAUGUGGGCUUCAAAGGUAACUCAGAAAUGUCACGUUCCUCGCUACUACCACGGUCCAGCUAGUCAGGGGAUAUCUAUGAGUACUCUAGCCUAAACACAACGUUUACGCUAGCAAUGAUUACUCUAAUACUCAACCGAAAGAGAUUAAAGUAAACUCAUAAACCAAACAACAAUAAAACAAGAACUUACUAGAAUUAGAAGUCGAAUUACUGAAGAAUCCUAGGAGCAAGCCUCGGGUUAGAAGACUUGAUCCCGCAGGUAUAACCUCGGAGUAGACACCGACAGGCCGGGCUUCCUCCGAUCUACACCUCCACUCUAUAUCUCUCAAUCUGGUAGAAACAAGAAGAUCUAAUUCUACUCACAUUGGAUGCUAAGCCUAAAAUAAAUAUUUAUUUAGAGGAGAGGUAUUCCUUCGAGGGCUCCUCUCAACUCUAUGAUGAACUUGUUCUCCUCCAGUUGCCAGGGGGUCUGCUUAUAUAGUCCCCUCCUUUUGUGCCUUUUUGGUUCAACAGGCGAUGUGGUACUAAACUUUCCACCAUAUCUCUUUAAAAUGCACAUAGGCCUUAAUGGACCAAAAUCUGAUUUGGGCCCAAUUAAUCCCGCAGCUCUUUUAUGUGGAGUCCUUCUUUUAUUAAUAUCUCUUGAUUCCGAACUCCAAAUAUAGCAAAUAAUAUAUGCAUUUCGAUCAGCUCGAUGAGAUCUUUGUAAUGGUGUACUCCAUUCUAUGAUUGGAGCUUGUACCAGGGCGGGCGCCCUGCCCCCGGGCCCGUUCGGUCUCCCGUUCGUUCCCGUGGCUUCUGGACUCUUCUAGAUGAUAGAAAAUUACGCGGCACGUUAAUAUCUCUAUGUAAACCCGACCUGUGGGCCUUUUUCCUUAUUUCCUGAUAACCCCCUGCAGAAAUAGACAAACACCAAAACUCGUGGAAUCUUGUUAGAUAAAACUCUAAGUCUAGGUGUUGGUUGCAUUUGGAUCCUUUUCUUUAUUUAUUUGAUGAUUAUAUUUGGUACUUAAGGACCGUCAACAACUCCCCAAAGCUUACCUCUUGCUCGUCCCUGAGCAAGGAUGGUCUCAAGAGUUUCUGCAGUGGUUUUAUGCCUUAAAAGUACACAUGCGUUCA
rnacentral:lncRNA from 1 species